rfam:Methylocystis sp. SC2 complete genome
UGUCGACCCUCCAAAGGUCGGCGUACCGAAGAGGCUUGUCUUUCUUGCCGGGCGUGCGGAUCGGGAUUCUCCCCUUCCAAUCGAUGGCUGUACCCGCGGAAGCGCGCGCGCUCAGGCGUGCAUCAUUUCGCAUCGGUCCAGUCAACGGCGC